UUCUGUAGUUGCCCUUCAGGUAUUUGAAGACUCUUAUCAAAUCCCCCUCAGUGUCCCCUUUUUCAGAUUAAACAAUCCUUGUUAUUUCAGCCUUUCUUCAUUAGUUUUAUUUUCCAGGUUUCUGAUCAUAAUUGUCUCUCUCUUGUGGACUUUUUGGCUGAAGCAAUUUGUUUCAUCAACACUUCAGAGGAGGAAUGAGAUUCUCAUUUGUGCCAAAUGUUGACCUUGAUCAACUCUCAAAAUCAAAGUUAGGCUAUUACCAAACACUUCUGAAAAUUUCCAACCAGAAUCUCCACCAUUUAAAAAAAUGAAUUUUACCUUACAACUCCUAACCCUUUUCUACACUGGAGAUAACAAUUUUAAAAUCUCAUCCAAAAUCAUUUUCAGUUUUCCUACCCACGUUUCCCUUUACACUCUGUGCAAGCAUGCACAGUUUUACUCUACAUAGGCACUUGUAAGAAAGUUAAAAGCCAUUGCAUAUAUUUACUAAAAUAAAAUAUUCAUGGUCAUAUGGGGGCCUAAAGAUGUAUGUAGGCAUCUAGUGGAAUUUUCAAAAGCACCAGAAUACCUGUGCAUGGCAUUCUCUAGCCCUAAAUGCUGUAAUUACAUAGUCUCAAUGCUUUGUUGUUCAGAAUGUGAAUUACAAAUCUUUGGAAAUGCUCUCCUCCUCCCCCCAUCUCUUUCAGCUGUGUGACAGGGUGGGACAUUUGUAAUUUCUCUGAGAGUGGCUGAUGUCCAACCAGAGGCUGCCUAGGAAAUUGUUUGGGGAAUCU